UUGUUUUUCUCUCUUCACUCACUCAGGUACGCUGCUCUCACCUCCUGGUGAAGCAUAAUCAGUCACGUCGUCCAUCUUCUUGCGGGAACAAAUAUAACGCGAACUAAAGACGAGGCCCUGGAUCUCAUUCAGAAGUACAUAGAAGAGAUCAAUCUGGAGAAGAGUUGUUUGAGUCCCUGGCAUCUCAGUUCAGCGACUGCAGCUCAGCUAAGAACGGCGGAGACCUGGGAUUAUUGGCAAAGUACA